rnacentral:rRNA from 1 species
UGGUAGUCCACGCUGUAAACGAUGUCGAUUUAGAGGUUGUGGUCUUGAACCGUGGCUUCUGGAGCUAACGCGUUAAAUCGACCGCCUGGGGAGUACGGCCGCAAGGUUAAAACUCAAAUGAAUUGACGGGGGCCCGCACAAGCGGUGGAGCAUGUGGUUUAAUUCGAUGCAACGCGAAGAACCUUACCUACUCUUGACAUCCAGCGAAUCCUUUAGAGAUAGAGGAGUGCCUUCGGGAACGCUGAGACAGGUGCUGCAUGGCUGUCGUCAGCUCGUGUUGUGAAAUGUUGGGUUAAGUCCCGCAACGAGCGCAACCCUUAUCCUUUGUUGCCAGCACGUAAUGGUGGGAACUCAAAGGAGACUGCCGGUGAUAAACCGGAGGAAGGUGGGGAUGACGUCAAGUCAUCAUGGCCCUUACGAGUAGGGCUACACACGUGCUACAAUGGCAGAUACAAAGAGAAGCGACCUCGCGAGAGCAAGCGGAACUCAUAAAGUCUGUCGUAGUCCGGAUUGGAGUCUGCAACUCGACUCCAUGAAGUCGGAAUCGCUAGUAAUCGUAGAUCAGAAUGCUACGGUGAAUACGUUCCCGGGCCUUGUACACACCGCCCGUCACACCAUGGGAGUGGGUUGCAAAAGAAGUAGGUAGCUUAACCUUCGGGAGGGCGCUUACCACUUUGUGAUUCAUGACUGGGGUGAAGUCGUAACAAGGUAACCAAGGGCGAAUUCGCG